GUAGGUGGCAAGCGUUGUCCGGAAUUAUUGGGCGUAAAGCGCGCGCAGGCGGUUCUUUAAGUCUGAUGUGAAAGCCCACGGCUCAACCGUGGAGGGUCAUUGGAAGCUGGAGAACUUGAGUACAGAAGAGGAAAGCGGAAUUCCACGUGUAGCGGUGAAAUGCGUAGAGAUGUGGAGGAACACCAGUGGCGAAGGCGGCUUUCUGGUCUGUAACUGACGCUGAGGCGCGAAAGCGUGGGGAGCAAACAGGAUUAGAUACCCUGGUAGUCCACGCCGUAAACGAUGAGUGCUAAGUGUUAGGGGGGUUUCCGCCCCCCUUAGUGCUGCAGCUAACGCAUUAAGCACUCCGCCCUGGGAGUACGGCCGCAAGGCUG
rnacentral:rRNA from 1 species